CAAUAGCGUAUAUUAAAGUUGUUGCAGUUAAAAAGCUCGUAGUUGGAUUUCUGGUAGGAGUGACCGUUCCGAACUUGAUUGUUCGUGUAUUGUGUUUUCUCCAGCCAUCCUUGUGGAGAACUUUUCUUGCAUUAAUUUGUAGGGAUUGGGACCCGCAUCGUUUACUGUGAAAAAAUUAGAGUGUUUAAAGCAGGCAAUCGCUUGAAUACAUUAGCAUGGAAUAAUAAGAUAGGACUUUGGUACUAUUUUGUUGGUUUGCAUACCAAAUUAAUGAUCAACAGGAACAGUUUGAGGAUAUUCGUAUGAACAUGUCAGAGGUGAAAUUCUUGGAUUUUGAUCAGACGAACUACUGCGAAAGCAUUUAUCAAGGAUGUUUUCCUUAA
rnacentral:rRNA from 1 species